rnacentral:rRNA from 1 species
GAUGAACGCUGGCGGCGUGCCUAAUACAUGCAAGUCGAGCGAACAGACGAGGAGCUUGCUCCUCUGACGUUAGCGGCGGACGGGUGAGUAACACGUGGAUAACCUACCUAUAAGACUUGGAUAACUUCGGGAAACCGUAGCUAAUACCGGAUAAUAUAUUUAACCGCAUGGUUCAAUAGUGAAAGACGGUUUUGCUGUCACUUAUAGAUGGAUCCGCGCCGCAUUAGCUAGUUGGUAAGGUACGGCUUACCAAGGCAACGAUGCGUAGCCGACCUGUGAGGGUGAUCGGCCACACUGGAACUGAGACACGGUACAGACUCCUACGGGAGGCAGAAGUAGGGAAUCUUCCGAAAUGGGCGAAAGACUGACGGAGCAACGCCGCGUGAGUGAUGAAGGUCUUCGGAUCGUAAAACUCUGUUAUUAGGGAAGAACAAAUGUGUAAGUAACUAUGCACGUCUUGACGGUACCUAAUCAAAAAGCCACGGCUAACUACGUG